rnacentral:rRNA from 1 species
UACGGAGGGUGCAAGCGUUAUCCGGAUUCACUGGGUUUAAAGGGUGUGUAGGCGGGCUGUUAAGUCAGUGGUGAAAUCUCCAGGCUCAACCUGGAAACUGCCAUUGAUACUAUCAGUCUUGAAUUUUGUUGAGGUAGGCGGAAUAUGUCAUGUAGCGGUGAAAUGCUUAGAUAUGACAUAGAACACCGAUUGCGAAGGCAGCUUACUAAGCAAAUAUUGACGCUGAGGCACGAAAGCGUGGGGAUCAAACAGG